GCCGUCGUGGUGGAAUUGGUAGACACGCUAUCUUGAGGGGGUAGUGGCGAAAGCUGUACGAGUUCGAGUCUCGUCGACGGCA
rnacentral:tRNA from 1 species